rnacentral:rRNA from 1 species
UACGUAGGCAGCAAGUGUUGUUCGGAAUUACUGGGCGUAAAGAGUGUGUAGGCGGUGUUCUAAGUUUGGUGUGAAAUCUCCCGGCUCAACUGGGAGGGUGCGCCGAAUACUGAAUGACUUGGAGUGCGGGAGAGGAGAGUGGAAUUCCUGGUGUAGCGGUGAAAUGCGUAGAUAUCAGGAGGAACACCGGUGGUGUAGACGGCUCUCUGGACCGUAACUGACGCUAGACACGAAAGCGUGGGUAGCAAACAGG